rnacentral:sRNA from 1 species
AUUGGGUCCCACGGGCGUUUCCUGCUAGCGCGUGGCCCAAGGCGUCAGGCUCGUUCCUGUCUCGAUCCGAGUCGAGGACGCGGCCUGACGCCAUUU